AUUAAAACACCGGUUCUCAUAUGAUCACUGAAGUUAAGCAACGUCAGGUCUGGUCAGUGCCUAAACGGGUGAUCGCUUGGGAAUAACAGCUGCUGUAAG